CUUUAGCUCCAAUUUACAGCUCACUGCACAAAAAAGUCCAGAUUAUUUCUAGUCUUUCUUUUGAAUCAGCCCCCCCCCCUCCCAAAAAAAAGUUCAAAACUAUUUUAGUGGCCCUCUUUUUUUGUGUGUGUAAGAGUAAUGAGUAAGUCACCUAGUUCAUUUGCAUAAUACUUCCUACUAUGUUUAUCCUUCAUGACUACGUUUGCUCUCUCCUAAAGGGCAGCACUCUACUCUCUCCUCCAGCUCUGCUUCACUCCCACCUUAUCUGAUUGCUAUUUCCUGUCCUAUUGUGUUUUAUACCCCACCUCCUAUAGACUGUAAGCUUGUUUGAGCAGGGUCCUCUUCAACCUAUCGUUCCUGUAAGUUUUCUUGUAAUUGUCCCCUAUCUUAUAAUAUUGUAAAGCACUACGGAAUCUGUUGGCGCUAUAUAAAUGGCGAUCAUAAUAAUAAUAAU